rnacentral:sRNA from 1 species
GAUAGGUGAGAUGUAUACACAACCAAAAGUGUAUAUUAUCAAUUUAGCAUCUCGCAAUAUAAUUUUAUACAAUGUAUAAUAAGGUUUAAAGAUGCAGCUCAUCUCCAUUUUCAUAGGGGAUUUUUAAAAUUAAGUAUUGAAAAAUAAAAUAUUUAUAUUAUAAUAUAAAUAAGUCAACGACCAUGCGUGGACAGUAAAACGAAGUACAUGCGAAUGUAGUAGCCGUUUACUAUGAGACUAGGCAUUAUAAUUGAAUAUCAUAGUAUAAAUUGCCAUGAGAGUAGAAGCUUCAGUUUAUGAAGACUUCGAAAUCAUGGUUUUUUAUUUUUAGGAUAAACUUUUAGUUCAUAGUAAAUAAGUAUAUAUGUUUUUAAUUCGGCUAAAUCAUAGCAUUAAAUUUUUUAGAUGAAGCUAGCGAUAUUACGAAAUGAUAUAUAGAAGAUUUCAGUUAUAACAGUAUACGAAGUAAUCCUCUCCAUUUAACGGAUAAUAGUUAAUAAUCAGUUAAUUUUAAAUUCAAUUAUAGAUUAUUUGUGAUAAUACAAACAUUAUUUUUUAAGAUUUGAUUAAAGUUCGUUUUGAUUUUUAUAGCGAAAAAGUUGAGUAUCGGUAAUUUUAUCAUAUUGUUCGAGUAUAAAGGGAACUAUUUAAAUGUAAUGAAGGUUGCAUCAAAAUGACCGGUUUUCAGCAGCAUAAAUGAAUAAAUU